CUUCAUUGAUCCGAUGUCAAUCGCUCGUUUUGCCCACAUAUCAGCCAUCUCAUUGCCGUUAAUACCACAGUGGCUUGGAACCCACCCGAGAACAAUAUGUAGGCCCCUUGAUUCACACCUACGUAGCAAAGCUUUGAUUUCGAGAAUCAAUGGAAAUUUUGCUUUGAAUUUGAAUUGGUUGCCUACAAUAGCCUGCAGGCAACUCCUACUAUCAGAGAUGAUAAUGGUGUUUUUAAUAUUGUGGGUCUCUGCAUAUUUGACAGCCUCAAGAAUAGCAACUGCCUCGCCUGUGAAAAUGGAUGCUUGAGGAGGACAUUUAAAUGGGAGGGCAAUAUUGUACCGAGGAAUCCACACCGCUGCUCCCACACAUUUUGUAGGAUCCACCUUUGAAGCGUCAGUAAAAACCGUGACCUCCAGUGCCAGUGCCCGCAAGCGUGGAAGCAACAAGUGGUUGUUGUAAGAGCUGGCUUUGAUCAAGAACCUGUCGGCAAGAUAUUGUCUGCGGAGAGACAAAGGAGGUUCAACAGCUUCUACCUGCAUGCCAUUUUUGGGAGAAGGAAGCAUAGCACCCAGUAUGAUCCUUAAACAUUUUGCCUGUAUGAGGUCUAAUUUAUCUAGGCCAUCCUUAUUGCAAGGUUCCAUUAGAAAUGACCCAUAGUCUAUAUGGCUGCGUAUGAUGGCAUUGUAUAGUAGCUUCUGGCAAUAAGGGUGAGAGCCCCACCAAACACCUGAUAAUGCUCGCAGAAUAUUAAUAUUUUUUUCACAUUUACUCAGUACAUAUUUGUGAUGUGAGGAGGCCGACAUUUUGUGGUCUAAAAUAACACCUAGAAAUUUUACUGACUCUUUACUUGGUAUCAUGACACCACCAUAACGGACAUCUGCAGGAGGCAUGAUCCUUCUGCGACUGAAAGUCACUAAACAACUUUUUGUUGGCGAUAGGGUAAGACCAUGUUCAUCAAGCCAAUCUUUGAGGUAACCCAGCGCUGUAUUCAGACUAGCAGUGGCUUUGUCCAUUGAGUUUGCUGAGGUGUAUAAGACCAGAUCAUCAGCAUACUGCAAGACAUUACAGAAGGAAAGGACAGAUUGUUCCAAGUCGUAGGUGUAGAUACUGUAAAGCAGGGGGCUGAGUACAGAUCCUUGCGGGAGACCUCGCCACAAAGUCCGAGGCGGGUAAUAGGAAUUACCAUUUCUAAUUUUAAUUGACCUACCCAUGAAUAAGUUGGUGACAAUAUGUACAAUCUUCGCGGGAAUGCUCAGAUGAAGCAUUUUUGCCCUGAGCACCGGAAGAAGGACAUUGUCGUAGGCCGCAGAGAUAUCUAGGAAACAUCCCAGAAGAUAUUCGUUUUUCGAAAAGCUUAGUCGGAUAUCAGUUGCUAAAAUGUUUAAACUGUCCAUUGUACUACGGCCCUUUCGGAAGCCAAACUGCGUGUCAGCUAGAAUACCUUUGUUUUCCACAAACCAUUCGAGUCUGUUUUUAACCAGAUGUUCCAGUAUCUUUCCCAUUGUCGCGGACAGGGCAAUCGGGCGAUAUGAGCUAGCCUCGUCUGGGUUUUUAGACGGUUUUAGGAUUGGAAUAAUGACUUGGGUCUUCCAGUCAACAGGGAUCUCUCCCGUGCCAAAGGCAUGGUUUAGAAUACCAAGCAGGUACUCCUGUGAGGAUGUAUUUAACUUAGAUAGGAAACAGUAUGGUAUGCCAUCCUCUCCCGAAGAGGUUCGGGGGAAGGAGAUGGAAGAAUAGAAGAAGGCUUGGUGAUAAUAAUCGGGAAAUGGUCACUGCCAAACGACUGGCGUAAUACCCUCCAGGAUAGUAAAGAAGACAAACUCGGGGAACAGACAGAUAAAUCGGGAACUGAUUGGGGGUUCUGGCCUGGGUAUACCCGAUGCGUGGGAGUUCCGUCAUUAACAACUCCUACAUUGAUUUCAUCGAACAAAUCCAGCAGGGCUGAUGAAAACGCAUCCGAAUGGUAUGACCCCCAGGACAUAUUGUGACAAUUAAAGUCCCCUAAAAUCAUAAGAGGAGGUGGAAUCGAUUUGAGAAUAGAUUGUAAUUCAUGCAUAUUAACUACUUCAGGAUGGGGGAUAUAUAUAGAGAUGAAAUUAAUGCCCAUAACCCUGGCAGCUACGGCAUUAAUCCCAUCCGAGUGAGGGGGGAUAUGAAUUUGGGAGAAAGGGUAACUGCGCUUGAUCAACAACGCACAUCCGGCGUGUCCAUCAUUACGGUCCUCCCGGAGACAUGAGAAGCCCGGCACUCUGAGAAGAGUGCCGGGACGUAACCACGUCUCCGAAAUAGCCGCAACAGACACAGCAUAGGUGUUGAUGAGCUGAAUAAGGUCAGGUUUUUUUGGGACAAUGCUUCGGCUAUUCCAUUGUAGAAAUGUGACCGGGGGGGCCGUUGUUGUGAAAUGUAAGUCUUUCAGCGAGUGUGAUCAUUAAGGGCGCAACGUCGUUCGGUAGGCAAUCGCUCCACUUAGCGAUUAUGUUUGUUAAAAAUUUUAAACAGAGCUCCAUUAGGUCUUCAUUGUGGGUGAUUCUAUUGUAAGAACUAUUCAGAGCUUGGCCAUUGGGGAGUUGAGGUGGGGGAGUUCGGACAAUAUUGUUGUGGGCUUCUCUAUCAUAACCCGGAGAGAGAGAGACCCUCGUUCGGGGCGCUCGAUAUACGGUUUUACGAUAUGAAGUGGUGGGCGGAGGAGAAGGAGAUGGCCUGAAAGUAUUAGGGUCGCAUGGGGGCUGUGAAGAUCGGGAAGAGUCUGUAACCUGUUCAAACAUGAUUCUUGCUACAUCUGAAUAUGGCUUACGAACCGCUGAGAACUGUAUUGCUGCUUCUGCGUAUGAGACAUUCUGCUCAGACAUGGCAAGUUUAAUGGACUUUUGUCGACCAUAUUCAUUGCAUACUUUGUCUGUAGCUAAGUGUCUGCCUGAACAGAAUAUACACGUCACAUGUUCUGGAGCUACAUUGCAUCCAUCACCGGGGUGUUUUUGUGCACACUUAUAACAUCUAGCAUCAGACCGGCACUGUGUUUGAAUAUGUCCGAACCUAAGGCACUUUCUGCAUUGAAUAAUUGGCAGUUGAUAUACUUCUACAACUAGUGAGGUGUAGUAGGCGAAAAUUUUUGACGGUAAGGAUUGUCCUUCAAAGGUAACCACCACCGACUGGGUUGGUGCCCAGGAUGGGGAUCCAUCAUCUUUUGUCACUUUCCGCUGCAGACGGCGAGCCUUAAGGAUUUUUCCUUUGCCUUCUUUGAGGUUUGUACCAUUGACUAAAUCCUCCAUAGUCCAAUCCGAAGGAACUCCCCGUAUAACUCCCAUACGCGAUACAUGGUAUGAGGGAAUAUCAGCUAUAAACUUAUUUUGGGCUAGUAGCGGGUGCUUUAAGAGGCUAUUUGCAUCAGCUGCUGUGGUGAAAGUAACUGCUACUCUGUUGCGACCUACUGACUUAAUACCACCUUCUUUUUGGAUGUUGUUAACCUUUGCUUGAGUAAGCAAAAGGCCUACAUUGAUGGGUUUUAGGGAAGCAUUGGAAGAUGGUACAGACUCUCUAGAGACGUGAACUAUAAAUGGUCCACCAUCUUCGGCAUUGUACUCUCGGUAUUUGCUGUCCAGACUGGGGUGUUUGUAUAAAUGUGGGUUGAACUCGA